GCGAGAGUGGCGGAAUUGGUAGACGCACUGGCCUUAGGAGCCAGCGGCCUAGCCGUGAGAGUUCGAGUCUCUCCUCUCGCACCA
rnacentral:tRNA from 1 species